CUCUUCCGAGAGGCACAUGGUUCUAGCCUGGACCUGGCUGGGCUCCAUGAGAAUGAGUUGCCUCCAACCUGUCCCAACAGCUGACAGCCAGGAGCCACUCUCCCAGCUGCAGGCCUUUGUGGUCCAUCUUGUCCUGCUUCCUCACUGUGGACCCCUGUCUGGGCCACCCUAGUGUGCUAAGCUGAGCAGUGCAGUGUGAACAGGGCCCAUGGUGUAUUCUAGGCCACAGCCCAGCACUCCUCUGGGCUGCUCUCAAACCAUGUCCCAUCUUCAGCAUCCCUCCCACCAACUUACUCCCCUGUGGUGAGUACCGUGGAACCCCAGCCCACCUCACUAUCAUACUCAGCUUCCCCUGAUGGCCCAUCCCAGCCCCUGAAGCUCUAUGCCAAGAACACAGCUACCGCACACCACCCUGAAACAGCCACAGCCAAGGCACCUGGCUCCUCCUUGCUCCCCUGCUGAUGGUGUCCUACCCCGAACUCCAAAAAUUACACCUGGAGUCAGGUGCAGAAGGGAACCUUGUAUUUCACAGGCCUCAUUUUGAUGGCAAAAAGACAGUGUAAUAAUAACAUAAUAAUAAUAAAAAUAUAAUACUGAAA
rnacentral:lncRNA from 1 species